rnacentral:tRNA from 1 species
GGAGAGAUGGCUCAGUGGUUAAGAGCACUGACUGCUCUUCCAGAGGACCUGAGUUCAAUUCCCAGCAACGACA